AGCGAACGCUGGCGGCAGGCUUAACACAUGCAAGUCGAACGGGCGUAGCAAUACGUCAGUGGCAGACGGGUGAGUAACGCGUGGGAACGUACCUUUUGGUUCGGAACAACACAGGGAAACUUGUGCUAAUACCGGAUAAGCCCUUACGGGGAAAGAUUUAUCGCCGAAAGAUCGGCCCGCGUCUGAUUAGCUAGUUGGUGAGGUAAUGGCUCACCAAGGCGACGCUCAGUAGCUGGUCUGAGAGGAUGAUCAGCCACAUUGGGACUGAGACACGGCCCAAACUCCUACGGGAGGCAGCAGUGGGGAAUAUUGGACAAUGGGCGAAAGCCUGAUCCAGCCAUGCCGCGUGAGUGAUGAAGGCCCUAGGGUUGUAAAGCUCUUUUGUGCGGGAAGAUAAUGACGGUACCGCAAGAAUAAGCCCCGGCUAACUUCGUGCCAGCAGCCGCGGUAAAAC
rnacentral:rRNA from 1 species